CUCAAGCGAGCACGCUUAACCCUGUAGUUCUCCCAACUCUCCAUGACAUUCCACCAAAAGGCACAUCUAGUGAUUAGUUCUCCCAUUUUAUAUAUCAUUACCUUGUCCUCCCAUUCUAAUGUGGGAUGUGUUUCCUUGUCUUUCAAAGGAGCUUCACCCCACGUCCAGCCUAAGCCGGGCUCAAAAUAAACCGAUGAGCAUAAUGAAUGACAUUUUGGUCAUUUCAACCACAGAGUUAAAUUUUGACCUAAA
rnacentral:misc_RNA from 1 species